rnacentral:tRNA from 1 species
GGAGUUGUAGUUCAGUGGUUAGAACACUUGUCUGGCAUGCUCAAGUCCCUGGGUUUGAUUCCCAGCACUUCUA